rnacentral:lncRNA from 1 species
GAAUAGGACUCUUCUCCGUAUGCCAACUUAGAUUGUACACCAUAUAUCUCCACAUAAAAAAAUAUUUUGUAUGAGAUUUUUUCACACAAAAGAGUUUUUUUCUUAUCUAUCUCACAUCUAAAUCUAAUUUAGUUUUGAUAAAAAGAAGGUUCUGAACUUAGAUUUCAAAAUAUUCCUCAUCAGAAGAAUCUGUUCUCAUCCAAAUCAAUUUUUUCAUGCCAAUAAAUUUCUUUCUCCUUAUAUGUGUGACAUUUUGAGGAGAUUUUUUAUGAAAUAUUAUUUAGAGAACUAAUUUACUAUAGGCAAAUAUGGGAAGGAUUGUCCCAUAUUUUUUUGGCAUAUUUUGGGAUGUGAAUUUGUGAAGGGAGGUGGAAUCCUGAAGAGUCUAGGAUCACUAGGAUUCUUCACCCCACCUCUUUACACACCUAUCAAAGGAGCUUUUAUAGUUUCUUUUAUGUGUGAGAUACCAGAAGAGAGAUCUUCAUGUGAGAAAAGUUUGAGCAUGGUUCAUAGUGUGAAAAAUAGAGAGGAGGAUCCUCUCUCUUGGGGUGUGUGCAAAAAUCUGAAUUUCAGAUUUUUGGUUAUAAGGGUUUGGGAGGAGGAAAUAAAUUAAAAAAAAAAUAUUUUUUUCUCUAUUAUUCUUUUACCUUUUUAUAUCCUCUAGAAGUUUAUUUUUAAUUUCUAAAAAAAUUUUAAAGAUUUGAAGAAAGGAUCCAGAUCAGUCAAGAAGAAGGUCUUCGCGUGAGCUAGCACUCCUAAGAAGAUCGAUCAGAUCGGGGCUUUGAGUGAAUUUUUUGUAGAGACCGGAUGCAUGUGUGACUAUGAGCAACAAGAAAAGAUCCUCUCCAUUAUGUCUCUCAGUAAUGAAGAUCAUCAACCCCCGAUCAGGUAUGGAGUUCUGAACUCAAAUUAGAAGUAGAUGUGAUCUACUGCUCACAUGCAUAUAUGCGAUUUUAUCUUCGGAUUAUUUCAGAUUUUAUAUACAACAUAACAUGUUAUAAAUCUUAGAGUAGAUUGAUUUGAUUAUUAGAUUAUAUGCAUAUUAGAUUAAUUUGAUUAAUCUAGUUAUCUUCUACUAUAAUUUUUCAAAAAAAUUUUGAAAUAUAUGCAUGAAAUCGCCUACACAUCCCAACAGUGGUAUCAGAGUCAAAUUCUAUAUGACUUGAUUUAUGUGCAUAUUAAAUCUAAAAUUUAAUUUUAUUUAGAUUUGAUAUAUGAUAUCUUAGAUCUAAAUUUAAUUGAUGGU